rnacentral:rRNA from 1 species
AGCAGCCGCGGUAAUUCCAGCUCCAAUAGCGUAUAUUAAAGUUGUUGCAGUUAAAAAGCUCGUAGUUGAAUUUCGGGAUCAGUAGGUCGGUCGUGCCACUGGUAUGAACUGGUCUCACUGGUUCCUCUCUCUUGACGAACUGCAAUGCUAUUAAUUUAGUGUAGUAGGAAAUCAGGACUAGUUACUUUAGAAAAAAUUAGAGUAGUUUAAAGCAGGUCUUUGGCUUGAAUACAUUAGCAUGGAAUAAUGAAAUAGGACGUUCGAUCCUAUUUUGUUGGCUUCUAGGAUUGACGUAAUGAUUAAUAGGGACAGUUGGGGGCAUUAGUAUUCAAUUGUCAGAGGUGAAAUUCUUGGAUUUAUUGAAGACUAACUACUGCGAAAGCAUUUGCCAAGGAUGUUUUCAUUAAUCAAGAACGAAAGUUAGGGGAUCGAAGACGAUCAGAUACCGUCGUAGUCUUAACCAUAAACCUAUGCCGACUAGGGAUCGGAUGAUGUUAAUUUUUAAUGAACUCAUUCC